AUACGUAGGUGGCAAGCGUUGUCCGGAUUUACUGGGUGUAAAGGGCGCGUAGGCGGGAUGGCAAGUCAGAUGUGAAAUCUCCGGGCUCAACCCGGAAACUGCAUUUGAAACUGUCGUUCUUGAGUAUCGGAGAGGCAAGCGGAAUUCCUAGUGUAGCGGUGAAAUGCGUAGAUAUUAGGAGGAACACCAGUGGCGAAGGCGGCUUGCUGGACGACAACUGACGCUGAGGCGCGAAAGCGUGGGGAGCAAACAGGAUUAGAUACCCGGGUAGUCCACGCCGUAAACGAUGAAUACUAGGUGUGGGGGGACUGACCCCCUCCGUGCCGCAGUUAACACAAUAAGUGUUCCACCUGGGGAGUACGGCCGCAAGGUUGUAACUCAAAGGAAUUGACGGGG
rnacentral:rRNA from 1 species